rnacentral:rRNA from 1 species
UUCCCGUUGCUAGGGGAUAACCUUGCGAAAGCAAGACUAAUACCCUAUGAAGUUCUUCGCAGGCAUCUAAAGAGAACCAAAGAUUUAUCGGCAACGGAUGGGGAUGCGUCUGAUUAGGUUGUUGGCGGGGUAACGGCCCACCAAGCCUACGAUCAGUAGGGGUUCUGAGAGGAAGGUCCCCCACAUUGGAACUGAGACACGGUCCAAACUCCUACGGGAGGCAGCAGUGAGGAAUAUUGGUCAAUGGACGGAAGUCUGAACCAGCCAAGUAGCGUGCAGGACGACGGCCCUAUGGGUUGUAAACUGCUUUUAUGUGGGAAUAAAGUGAGGGACGUGUCCCUUUUUGUAGGUACCACAUGAAUAAGGACCGGCUAAUUCCGUGCCAGCAGCCGCGGUAAUACGGAAGGUCCGGGCGUUAUCCGGAUUUAUUGGGUUUAAAGGGAGCGUAGGCCGUCUUUUAAGCGUGUUGUGAAAUACUGUCGCUCAACGACAGAGGUGCAGCGCGAACUGGGAGACUUGAGUGCGCGGAAUGCAGGCGGAAUUCGUCGUGUAGCGGUGAAAUGCUUAGAUAUGACGAAGAACUCCGAUUGCGAAGGCAGCUUGCAGUAGCGUAACUGACGCUGAAGCUCGAAAGUGCGGGUAUCGAACAGGAUUAGAUACCCUGGUAGUCCGCACGGUAAACGAUGGAUGCUCGCUGUGUGCCCCU